GACGAACGCUGGCGGCGUGCUUAACACAUGCAAGUCGAACGGUGAAGGGACCGGUUUUUGCUGGUUCUGGAUGAGUGGCGAACGGGUGAGUAACACGUGAGUAACCUGCCCCCUUCUUCUGGAUAACCGCAUGAAAGUGUGGCUAAUACGGGAUAUUCUGCGCCUGCUGCAUGGUGGGUGUGGGAAAGAUAUUGUUUCGGUGGGGGAUGGGCUCGCGGCCUAUCAGCUUGUUGGUGGGGUGAUGGCCUACCAAGGCGGUGACGGGUAGCCGGCCUGAGAGGGUGGACGGUCACACUGGGGCUGAGACACGGCCCCGACUCCUACGGGAGGCAGCAGUGGGGAAUAUUGCACCAUGGGCGCAAGCCUGGUGCAGCGACGCCGCGUGAGGGAUGGAGGCCUUCGGGUUGUAAACCUCUUUCGCCAGUGAAGCAGGCCUGUCCCUUUUGUGGGUGGGUUGACGGUAGCUGGAUAAGAAGCGCCGGCUAACUACGUG
rnacentral:rRNA from 1 species